rnacentral:siRNA from 1 species
UUCCUAAAAGUGCCUAUUAGUGGC